AGGUCCCACCAUCAGAAGCGUUCUAGCGACAACCAGCCCCCGCGAAGUAAUACCUAACGGGGUCCCGCGGGGGAGAGUGGUAGACGAAGUGUGUGUGGGGUACGUAUGCGUCAGGGAUGGCGAAUCGUGCAUGCUGCUAUUAAGAUCCGGCAGUAUCUUUUGAAGUUUCUCUACCUUCACCUCA
rfam:Glossina fuscipes fuscipes unplaced genomic scaffold Scaffold239, whole genome shotgun sequence.